UACGAAGGGGGCUAGCGUUGCUCGGAAUUACUGGGCGUAAAGCGCACGUAGGCGGCUUCUUAAGUCGGUGGUGAAAUCCUGGAGCUCAACUCCAGAACUGCCUUCGAUACUGAGAAGCUCGAGUCCGGGAGAGGUGAGUGGAACUGCGAGUGUAGAGGUGAAAUUCGUAGAUAUUCGCAAGAACACCAGUGGCGAAGGCGGCUCACUGGCCCGGUACUGACGCUGAGGAGCGAAAGCGUGGGGAGCGAACAGG
rnacentral:rRNA from 1 species